UUAAAGUUUUUAAGCUUAAAUUUAAUGUAAAAAUUUAAUUUAAAUGUAAAUUUUAGUUGAAAUUAAAUUUUAUUUAGAUAAUGUGUUUAAUUGAAGUUGCAAUAAAUAGUUUUAUAUAUUUGGUUAUUCAAGAUAUGGUAAUAUUUUUUAGUACGAGCAAAAUCUGUGCCAGCAGCUGCGGUUACACAGAUCGUGCAAUUUUAAAUGUUUGGAAGCAGUUAAAUUUAUAGAUAAAUUUAAAAAUGAACUUAUUAGGUGAAAUUUUAAGUUUUUAAUUAUUUUUUUUUUGAGACUGGUAAAUUUAAUGAUAGACUAGGAUUAGAUACCCUAUUAUAUAAAUAUAGAAAGUUUUCUUAAUUAGUAGUAGUUAUGUUCUUGAAAAUUAAUAAAGUUGGCGGUAUUUUAGUCUGUUCAGAGGAACCUGUUCUGUAAUUGAUAGUCCACGAUUUGAUUGACUUAUUUUUUUAGUUUGCGUAUGGCUGUAGGUUGAAUAUUUUUGUUGGAUUUUAAUGUUCAAGAUUUUUAUUUAAAUUAAAUCAGGUCAAUAUGUAGUUUAUAGGUAAGAAGAAAUGGGUUACAUUUAAUUUAUUAAUGGAUCUUUUGUUUUAAUGCAUAGGUUAAAUUGGAUUUGAUAGUAAAUUUAUUAAAUAGGUAAGUUGAUUAGAGCUCUAGAAUAUGUACAUAUCGCCCGUCGCUUUCACUUUAAAGUGGAAUAAGUCGUAACAUAGUAGAUGUACUGGAAAGUGCCUCUAGAAAGAC
rnacentral:ncRNA from 1 species